CUUUAGAUGUCCUAGAGGUGUAGAAGCCUCUAAGGGUAGGUCUGUUCGCCCUUUAAAAUCUAACAUGAGCUGAGUUCAGAACGGCGUGAGCUAGUUCAGUUUCUAUCCUCUUUUAAAAACGAGCUAAUUUUGUACGAAAGGACUUUUUCGCUAAAGUAAUGCUUUGGUCCAGCCCUAUAAUUACAUAAAUAGUGAUACAUAACGAGCUGUUCAAUUCAUAAAAAGGCCUG
rnacentral:rRNA from 1 species